AGUAUAAGAGUAGUCGAAUGAAUUCUUGCAAAGUAACUCUUUUUGCCUGCAGUAGAAUUAGAUGGACAUAGGUCAAAUAGACUUUGGGGUGCCGAAUAGCUCAGUGGGCAGUUGCUUACAUGAUCAUGGAUUGAAGUAAAAUAAAUUGUACCAAAGUCCCGCGCAAGUAACGCCACGUGCUCUGUGCUGUGAAGGUCCACGAAGGUGCUGCCAACGAAUUCCGAAAUUUCAGAUGGGCGAGAAGACACGUUGGAGAAUCCACGUGGACUUGCUUAUGAAUACAAUUAUGUUCAAAAGAGAGUAUCGCUUAUGACGCGUAAUUAUUAUUUCAGAAUUAAAUAAAAAUUCAAAAUAUAUACAAACAAGUGCCACAGUAAGGAUACUGUUCCAUGGCGCUCGAAAAGCUAUAUCGGAAAGGCGGAUUGGUGGGGACAACCAAUCAGGAUCGUUCCACUUCGAGUUUUAAUGCCCCAGUUCCCCACGGAGCAAAUUCUAUCUUUACGAGAAGCUAAUUUUUAAUAAUUAAUAUGAUUUAGGAUAAUUAAUAUUGUAGAAAAUAACUGAACGAUAAAUAAUUUUUUAGAUUUUAUAUAAUUUUGAAUUAAACUUUGGUAAGUACCAUAUAUCAAAUUUAUAUUGAAAAUGAGGUUGGAAUUUCGUUCCGUUUCUCUUAAAAUAUGCUCCAUGGGGAACUGGGGUAUGAAAAUUCCGUUCUGAUUGGGCGCUGUCCGCCACUAUUCAGUCUUUCCUUCCUUCCUUCCUUCCUUAUGGCUGUAUCCCCAAUGGAAAACAUUUACGAGUAACUGCUCCUAUAUAAUCAGGAUUGGAAGUUCACGCUAGAUGGCAAUGCACUUUGCGAGACGGGCCUUAUAUCUAACUGAGCGUGAGGAUCUGUUUAUACACCAAAUCAGAACAGUGCUGGGCGAAAUCCGUAUAAAUACUUACUUAGGUUUUCUUAUGAAAAUCCAUUGGUGGAUGCGGCUGUGAGCUGGGCGCGAGCUCUAAACCUUUCGAUCCUGAAUCCCUUACCUAAACCACUGGGUUACGGUCGCCCUGCUCCCUCUUUCCGAUUCUGUUUUCCGAGCGCCAUGGAAAUCUGCUGUCUGACAGAUGUGCGGCGAAAGUGCCUCGUAGUUUCAGGGGAGGUCCGGCAGAGUGCAGCUGGGACGUAGUGCUUUUUACAACAAGUACGCGAGAGAAUCCCGAAUCGAAAAAGCUUUGCUGCAUGACAUAAUCUAAUGGUGAAUUUUCUGCAAGAUGUCGAUAUAAAAGGACCUAGAAACCAGACCGCCUUCGGCUCUCGCGUGCUCCUGAACCUUCGACUCGAAGUUGAUUCCCGGGUCGAAGGUCAUUUCACAAGGGGAGAUUUUGCCACGGAUAUCGCACGGCUAUCCGUCAUCCUGAAGGACGGGCAGCGAUCCAUGAGAAACGAACUCAUCGGUGCCAAAAGACCCCCGUGAAAAUUCGAUCGUGCGCAGGAAUAAAGUAACGAUCUAGAAAUCACUGAGUUCAUGCCUAUGCCUAUAACAGAGCGCAGCUGUAAAUAAAUUGAUCUCGUAUUUUCAUUACCUUUUUUCCUCCGUAUAUAAAAUAAGCUAUUUGGAUUUAUACGGGAGCGGAAAGAAAAUCGAUAAGAAUGACAUUAGCAAAAAUGACGAAUACGCUGUUAUGCCUACAAUGCUAUAUACUGAAUCUGAUUAUGAAAAUGUGUCACAGCACAGAAUUGAAUUUUGCUGCUAAUUGAUAUUGAAGACGCGUUAUAAGAAAACAAAAGUAAUGGACGAUCCCAGUAAUGACUGCAUGCAUACACACAAAUAUCCAAUAUCCAAGCAUAUAUUGCUGUGCACGUACGGCCUAUCAGCAGUACCAAUUUUGCUGGACUUUUUCUUUAUACGUACACUGAAAUACAUGCCGAGAUAUGCAACCCGCGUACGUACGCACGUAACGAAUAAAAUGAAAUGAAGAUGGUCUUAUUUCGUUUUACCAAGCAAUAUGUCUGCUGACAACAUUCAUAUGUAAAUCAUGAAUGGGAUUAUGGGUCAGGCGUGGAGUGAUUCAAGACUACAAACGACGUGCAGUGUUACGUAUAUCGUUAUAUACAGUACAUCUAUUUCUAAUAUCAUAUGUACAGAUAUAGAUUGUAAUCUGUACCUGCUGUUACAAUAAUAUACAUAUAAUAAAGCCUGUAAGAUGUACGAAACUUUAUGUACAUAAUGUAUGAACUUUUAAGACACGUUCUAUUUGUCGAAAACCUUCGACCCAAGUCUCACAGAAGUAAAGCAGCUUGACGUGACGAAAUAUAAAUUAUAAUGGAUCGAAACCAUAAAUCUGCCAAGAUGGAAGAUGGGGUCGAGAAAGUAAUCGGAACCAGAUGAAAAACCGCACUAGGAACUACGCAUUUAUGAGGAGUAGCGUGAACCACUUUAGAGAAUAGUUACUUCGUUCCUAGUUAGGAGUCGCUAACUAACUGUGUAACGGGGCUACACGUUAACCGUCUAAAGAGAAUACGAACAGUAUAAUCUAUUAGUACGUCGUCGUUACGUGUCAUUGUGGUAAUCCGUGUGCUGAUGAUAUUUAAAUCGGCGGUGGAUCAUUGAUCUUUGGCUGUUUUAGAACUUAGAAAAAAGCUGUACGAUGAUCCUGUCCUGGAUACUAAAAACGCAUGCCGAACGGAGGUUGCAGAAAAACGGCUGGAAAUACAGAAGCUCUUGGGAAUAUAUCUGUCCUUAGAGAAAGUAACUACUGGAAAUUAAUAAGUUUCUCACUGUUAACUGAUCAUUUCUAGAAAAUUCGCGUACUACGAAGUAUACUCUAUAUAUCACGUGUGCAUAACAUGAUCAGCAUUGGCAUGAGUACUAUAUUUACAGUAGCGAUAACUAGUGUGGGGAAUGCUCUUAUCGUUAAUUUAAAAAAUUUUUAAGUAGCGUUGUGCGGACUAAGUGAAAUAUAAUUUUGAAAAAAUAUUAUAUAACCACAUUUAGUUUACAAUAUAUGUUUUGGAUACGUUAUAUUUCAUGUAUUAUUGUAUUCCUAUAACGUGAUUACUUGUCUAUGUAAUUUACACAAUUAGGCACUUCUGAAUUAUAGUAAUGACAUUAAUAAGCACUAUCACGUUCUAGUAGUUGUUUCACGUCAAAGCAACGAAUCCCUAUAGACUUUCAAUAGUUAAAGUAAUUAUUUAUUACCGUAGCUUCUAUAGGUGACUGAAGGCACGUUAUAUAUUUAUAUUAUACCUACACGUGUACAAUGCGAACAACGUAAUACGGAGAAAGUGGAUCCAUCUAAAAGACUGUGUUGCUAAGAACAUCUCAAAGACGUCUUUUGAGCUGUAUAUGUACAUUUUCUGGGAAUUAUGUCCCCGUUAACCUUAACGUACAGUCGAGUUACUAAAUCAUCUUUUUUUCACCAAUUUACAUGAUACUCCUUGCUUAGUAUCGAAUAGCGUUUGACGUAGAUUCUCAAUUAAUAGUAAUAAAUAAAUGAUGGAUUUUCAAGAGAAA